rnacentral:rRNA from 1 species
GACGAACGCUGGCGGCGUGCCUAAUACAUGCAAGUCGAACGGACAGGCCCUGCUCUUGUUGGUUGCUCGAUUGCCGCACGCGUGAGUAAAACGCGAGUAUCCUGCCCUUGACUUUGUGAUAACUCCUGGGAACUGGGGCUCAUACAGGAUAGGAGCUCUUGCUCCACGGUGGGGGUUGGUAAGUUUCGGCGGUUGGGGAUGGACUAGCGGCUUAUCCGCUAGUUGGUGGGGUAGUUGCUUACCAAGCCUGUGACGGGUAGCCGGCCUGAGAGGGUUACCGGCGACAAUGGUACUGAGAGACGGCCCAGAAGGCUACGGGAGGCAACAGGGGAGAAUAUGGCACAAUGGGCGGAAGCGUGAGGCAGCAACGCCGCGUGCGUAAAGACGGCCUUCUAGGUGUAAACCACUGUCGCCGGUGACGAAGCGGUAGUGACGGUAAUGAGUAAAGAAGCACCGGCUAACUACGUG